rnacentral:tRNA from 1 species
UGGGAUAUAGUAUAAUGGUUAUUACAUCUGCUUUUGGCGCAAAUAAUCUAAGUUCGAUUCUUAGUGUCCCAA